rnacentral:rRNA from 1 species
UACGUAGGGGGGCUAGCGUUGUCCGGAAUCAUUGGGCGUAAAGCGCGCGUAGGCGGCCCGAUAAGUCUGCUGUGAAAGUCCAGGGCUCAACCCUGGAAUGCCGGUGGAUACUGUCGGGCUAGAGUUCGGAAGAGGCAAGUGGAAUUCCUGGUGUAGCGGUGGAAUGCGCAGAUAUCAGGAGGAACACCUAUAGCGAAGGCAGCUUGCUGGGACGACACUGACGCUGAGGCGCGAAAGCGUGGGGAGCGAACAGG